AGAACCUGAAACCGUGUGCUUACAAGUAGUCAGAGCCCGUUAAUGGGUGAUGGCGUGCCUUUUGUAGAAUGAACCGGCGAGUUACGAUUUGAUGCAAGGUUAAGCAGUAAAUGUGGAGCCGUAGCGAAAGCGAGUCUGAAUAGGGCGUUUAGUAUUUGGUCGUAGACCCGAAACCAGGUGAUCUACCCUUGGUCAGGUUGAAGUUCAGGUAACACUGAAUGGAGGACCGAACCGACUUACGUUGAAAAGUGAGCGGAUGAACUGAGGGUAGCGGAGAAAUUCCAAUCGAACCUGGAGAUAGCUGGUUCUCUCCGAAAUAGCUUUAGGGCUAGCCUCAAGUGAUGAUUAUUGGAGGUAGAGCACUGUUUGGACGAGGGGCCCCUCUCGGGUUACCGAAUUCAGACAAACUCCGAAUGCCAAUUAAUUUAACUUGGGAGUCAGAACAUGGGUGAUAAGGUCCGUGUUCGAAAGGGAAACAGCCCAGACCACCAGCUAAGGUCCCAAAAUAUAUGUUAAGUGGAAAAGGAUGUGGCGUUGCCCAGACAACUAGGAUGUUGGCUUAGAAGCAGCCAUCAUUUAAAGAGUGCGUAAUAGCUCACUAGUCGAGUGACACUGCGCCGAAAAUGUACCGGGGCUAAACAUAUUACCGAAGCUGUGGAUUGUCCUUUGGACAAUGGUAGGAGAGCGUUCUAAGGGCGUUGAAGCAUGAUCGUAAGGACAUGUGGAGCGCUUAGAAGUGAGAAUGCCGGUGUGAGUAGCGAAAGACGGGUGAGAAUCCCGUCCACCGAUUGACUAAGGUUUCCAGAGGAAGGCUCGUCCGCUCUGGGUUAGUCGGGUCCUAAGCUGAGGCCGACAGGCGUAGGCGAUGGAUAACAGGUUGAUAUUCCUGUACCACCUAUAAUCGUUUUAAUCGAUGGGGGGACGCAGUAGGAUAGGCGAAGCGUGCGA
rnacentral:rRNA from 1 species